rnacentral:lncRNA from 1 species
AAUGAGCCCUUAUAGUGGAUAUUGAUGACAGUUGGUCUACUAUAAGAGUAGGGUAUGUAUCAAGAUGGGAUCUAUCGAUCUUGAUAGAGAGAAGUAGUCCUAUGUGAUUUGAGAGGCUAAAUCUGAGAGUCUGUGGCCACAGCAGUAUAAUUGAUGAAAAAAUUUUUUUACAAGUAUCACAAUUGAACUUGAGCUGAUCGAAUUUAUCAU